rnacentral:rRNA from 1 species
ACCCGCGUACAUGCCACCGGGGCAUCCCGGAGGCAGGAAAGGCUUCGGCCGGACAGGGAUGGGCAUGCGGCGCAUUAGGCAGUAGGCGGGGUAACGGCCCACCUAACCGACGAUGCGUAGGGGUUCUGAGAGGAAGGUCCCCCACACUGGUACUGAGACACGGACCAGACUCCUACGGGAGGCAGCAGUGAGGAAUAUUGGUCAAUGGUCGGGAGACUGAACCAGCCAAGCCGCGUGAGGGAGGAAGGUACAGAGUAUCGUAAACCUCUUUUGUCAGGGAACAAAGACUGGGACGCGUCCCCGGAUGAGUGUACCUGAAGAAAAAGCAUCGGCUAACUCCGUGCCAGCAGCCGCGGUAAUACGGAGGAUGCGAGCGUUAUCCGGAUUUAUUGGGUUUAAAGGGUGCGCAGGCGGUCUGUUAAGUCAGCGGUCAAAGCCCGGGGCUCAACCCCGGCCCGCCGUUGAGACUGGCAGUCUCGAGUUGGAGAGAAGUAUGCGGAAUGCGCGGUGUAGCGGUGAAAUGCAUAGAUAUCGCGCAGAACUCCGAUUGCGAAGGCAGCAUGCCGGCUCCACACUGACGCUGAGGCACGAAAGCGUGGGUAUCGAACAGGAUUAGAUACCCUGGUAGUCCACGCAGUAAACGAU